rnacentral:lncRNA from 1 species
GGCAAAUCUCUCUCUGGAACCAAGUCUUCUCUUCUGUAAGAUCAGCUGGUGUCCCCAUCCCAGAUGUAAAGAGUUGGGUUUCUGUCUGGCUCAGGAAAAGCAGCCCUCAUGGUAGUGGAAGGUGAUUAACCUCUGUCCAGCCCUGACAACCCUUCCAGGAUGACAUGUCCCACACUGCUCCAGUCUCUCCCCACACUGCUCCAGUCUCUUCCCACUUCCCACACUGCUCCAGUCUCUCCCCACUCCCCACACUGCUCCAGUCUCUCCCCACUCCCCACACUGCUCCAGUCUCUCCCCACUCUCCACACUGCUCCAGUCUUCUCCACUCCCCACACUACUCCAGUCUCUCUCUCCCCACUCCCCACACUGCUCCAGUCUCUCUCUCCCCACUCCCCACACUGCUCCAGUCUCUCCCCACUCCCCACACUGCUCCAGUCUCUCUCUCCCCACUCCCCACACUGCUCCAGUCUCUCUCCACUCCCCACACUGCUCCAGUCUCUCCCCACUCCCCACACUGCUCCAGUCUCUCCCCACUCCCCACACUGCUCCAGUCUCUCCCCACUCCCCACAC